rnacentral:tRNA from 1 species
GCGCUCGCGCUGCCAGCGGUGUUUGAAACCCACAUUCCUAAUCUGGGGGUCGCGCGUUCGAAUCGCGCCGGGAUCACCA